AUUGAACGCUGGCGGCAUGCUUUACACAUGCAAGUCGAGCGGGGUGAUGGUGCUUGCACUAUCACUUAGCGGCGGACGGGUGAGUAAUGCUUAGGAAUCUGCCUAUUAGUGGGGGACAACAUCUCGAAAGGGAUGCUAAUACCGCAUACGUCCUACGGGAGAAAGCAGGGGAUCACUUGUGACCUUGCGCUAAUAGAUGAGCCUAAGUCGGAUUAGCUAGUUGGUGGGGUAAAGGCCUACCAAGGCGACGAUCUGUAGCGGGUCUGAGAGGAUGAUCCGCCACACUGGGACUGAGACACGGCCCAGACUCCUACGGGAGGCAGCAGUGGGGAAUAUUGGACAAUGGGGGGAACCCUGAUCCAGCCAUGCCGCGUGUGUGAAGAAGGCCUUAUGGUUGUAAAGCACUUUAAGCGAGGAGGAGGCUCUUUUGGUUAAUACCCAAGAUGAGUGGACGUUACUCGCAGAAUAAGCACCGGCUAACUCUGUGCCAGCAGCCGCAGUAA
rnacentral:rRNA from 1 species